rnacentral:rRNA from 1 species
AUUGAACGCUGGCGGCAUGCUUUACACAUGCAAGUCGAACGGUAACAGGGAGCUUGCUCCGCUGACGAGUGGCGAACGGGUGAGUAAUGCAUCGGAACGUACCCAGUCGUGGGGGAUAACGUAGCGAAAGUUACGCUAAUACCGCAUACGUCCUGAGGGAGAAAGCGGGGGACCGUAAGGCCUCGCGCGAUUGGAGCGGCCGAUGUCGGAUUAGCUAGUUGGUAGGGUAAAGGCCUACCAAGGCGACGAUCCGUAGCGGGUCUGAGAGGAUGAUCCGCCACACUGGGACUGAGACACGGCCCAGACUCCUACGGGAGGCAGCAGUGGGGAAUUUUGGACAAUGGGCGGAAAGACCUGAUCCAGCCAUGCCGCGUGUGUGAAGAAGGCCUCGUGUAGUA